AAACAGUAUUGGAAAAACUAUCAGCCUUGUGUGUAGUGACUGUAAGUAGCAGCCUCCUUGGGAAUGUGUGAGCCUGUUGCCUAUAAAGGUUGCUCUAAGAAACCUCAGAGACAAUU
rnacentral:snoRNA from 1 species